GUGGGGAAUCUUCCGCAAUGGACGAAAGUCUGACGGAGCAACGCCGCGUGAGUGAAGAAGGUUUUCGGACUGUAAAGCUCUGUUGUUUAGGACGAAAGUGCCUGUUGCAAAUAGUUACAGGUAUUGACGGUACUGAACGAGGAAGCCACGGCUAACUACGUGCCAGCAGCCGCGGUAAUACGUAGGUGGCAAGCGUUGUCCGGAAUUAUUGGGCGUAAAGAGCAUGUAGGCGGGAAUCUAAGUCUGUUGUGAAAAUGCGGGGCUCAACCCCGUAUUGCGAUGGAAACUGGGUUUCUUGAGUGCAGGAGAGGAAAGGGGAAUUCCCAGUGUAGCGGUGAAAUGCGUAGAUAUUGGGAGGAACACCAGUGGCGAAGGCGCCUUUCUGGACUGUGUCUGACGCUGAGAUGCGAAAGCCAGGGUAGCGAACGGGAUUAGAUACCCGGGUAGUCC
rnacentral:rRNA from 1 species